AUUGAACGCUGGCGGCAGGCCUAACACAUGCAAGUCGAGCGAGUGGCGGACGGGUGAGUAAUGUCUGGGAAACUGCCUGAUGGAGAGGGAUAACUACUGGAGACGGUAGCUAAUAUCGCAUACCAUCGCAUGUGCCCAGAUGGGAUCAGAUCGUAGGUGGGGUAACGGCGCACCUAGGCGACGAUCCCUAGCUGGUCUGCGAGGAUGACCAGCCACACUGGAACUGGGACAUGGUCCGGACUCCUGCGGGAGGCAGCAGUUGGGAAUAUGGCACAAUUAGCGCGAUCCUGAUCGAGCCGUGCGGUUUGUGCGAGGUAGGCCUUCGGGUGGUAAACCACUUGCAGCGGGGAGGCGUUACCCGCAGAAGAAGCACCGGCUAACUCCGAGCCAUCAGCCGCGGUAAUAC
rnacentral:rRNA from 1 species